rnacentral:lncRNA from 1 species
UAGUUAUAGGACAGAGAGGAAAGGGGCAGAGGGAGAAAAACCCGAAGUCUGAGAAUCUGGAUUGCAGAAGACUACCGAGUUCGUGGGAGAAGGGAGAGAAAACAAGGAUGAAAACCGAAAGGGGAAGAGGCAUGAAAUGUUGUCAAAUGUCAAAAAGGCAUUUGGAGAGAAGUUGGGAAUUGCAUUAAGAAAACCACUGCAAAUCUCAUUUCAGACCAUUUAGAGAUAUGCCCCCUGGGAACUGCGAGCUCAGGCUGUUUAGCAUCAAACAAAUGGAUCCACUCCAUCCCUACCCUAAUUAAAUAAAUCAUUCAGUAAUUCCACUGGGUUAAAGAACCAAAAUAUUAAAAACCUUCAGGGCCUGCUCUUGCCAAAUAUGUCAGGGAUCGUGUGUGUGUGUGUGUGUGUGUGUGUGUGUUCUGACACACCACUACUGUUAAAUAGGCAGAGCUAAGACUUAGGGGACUGGCAGAUUAUUGCAAAAAGGGCACGGGGCAGAAGGACUAUGUUGUGAGCCUGCGAAAGAAGUUUGUGUGGGGACUGUGGGCAGUGAACGCGUUGGGAACAAUAUGGAAAACUGGGAGCUGCCUUGGAAUCUACAGGGCCGGGCUGAAGAAAAGAAGAAUGGUAUUCACGCAGUUCCCAUUUUACAGAUGAAAACAAGAGGACUUUUUCUGUGAAGUCAAGAAAGUGGUUACAAUGGUACUUUCAGCCUGUCCGAAUUAUGUAUUGCCCCUCCCCUUUUUAUUAAUAACAUUGAAGUGUGAUGGGAAAACCACUGAAGCCGUCAGUUGAAACCUGCUGGGACUUUUUAGCCAUUCUCUUCAACAUAAAGAAUGGGUGUUUUUGGAGGGGGUGAGAGGAAUGGGGAAAUGUUGUCAAAGAGUACAGUGUUUUAGUUGAGACAGGAAGAAUAUAUUUUGUUGAGAUCUACAGCACAGCAUGGUGACUGUAGUUAACAAUGAAGUAUUGUGUAUUUCAAAAUUGCUAAGACAAUAAAUUUCAAAUGUUCUCACCACAAAAAAGAUAGGUUUUGAGGUGAUGAAUCUAUUAAUUCUCUGGAUUUAAUUAUUCCACAAUGUAUACAUAUAUCAUAACAUCACAUUAUACCUCCGUAAAUACAUACAAUUUUAAUUUGUCAAUUAACAUUUUUUUAAAAGAAUAGUGUGGCCAGUUGGGGAGGUAGUUUUUUUUUUUUUUUCCUCUAGUCUCUACUCAGUCUCCAAGAUCCCAUUCCCCAUAAAGUUCCUGUCACCCAGGUGGAGUGCAGUGGCACAAUCAUGGCUCACUGCACCCUCUCCCUCUUGGGCUCAAGCGAUCCUCCCGCCUACAGGUACAUGCCACCACGCCCAGCUAAUUUUUGUAGUUUUUGUAGACAUGGGGUUUCACCAUGUUGCCUAGGCUGGUCUCGAACUCCUCAGCUCAAUCAAUCUGCCCACUUUAGCCUCCCACAGUGCUGGGAUUACAGGUGUGAGCCACCAAGCCCAACCCAUAAAGUUCCUAACUUUUUAUCUCCCUGGGAGUGCACAGCCUACACACACCAGUUUCUCUUUAGAACAUACUUAAGAGUCUUGGCUUAGCAUCCAACAGACAGAACUUUAACACUUCUAGGGAUCUGUGCACCUGUCUAUGGUGUGGGGUUUUUAAGAUCUCUUUCUAAUGACACUUUAUUUUGCAAAGCAGGACAGUUUCAUUCCCAGAAGAGCAGGUAUGGUAAAUCCUUUGUUCCAGUAACAAAGACAAUGAUCCAAACCCUAAGCCUCAGAGAAGCCCAGAAACUCUCCAGGCCUCCAUCUCUCUGCUCCUAGCACCUGCCUCUCUCUUGACAUCAACAUCAUUCUCCCCUCUCACAGCCCAGCUCCUUCCACAGACCCAGGGAUUAAGCACCAGCACCUCAGACUAGAUUUCAGAGAAUUACCAUUCAAGAGGCAAUCCUCUUCCCUUGGUUCCAAUUUCAAGGUUCUCAAAGACUGGAACAGGGCUAGUUUGAGGCAAUGUGCCCCACCGCAUAGCCAGAAAGAACCUUACAGUGAAAAGGAAAACAAUUCUUCCAAAGUAAGGGGGUGCUGAUCCCCAGAGGGAGGACAGAUGGGCAACCAAACAGUAACCGGGCCACCACGUGCUUCACACUCACUGAUCAAGGAUUUCUAAAACCACUUUUCUUUUCUCUGAAUUUAUAUAGGACUUUGUAUCACUCAUAAAGGAAUGUCUUAUAGGCUGAUAACACCUUUCUAUUCAUGCUUAUACUUAACAUUUAGGCUAGGAUAAUUUCCUAACCUCAGUGUCCUCACUAUAAGAUGGGAAUUAUUAUAAUCCCUACCUCAUAAAUUGUUGGGAGGAUUAAAAUACUUAGUAAAGUGCCUGACUAAUAGAAAGGCAUUCAAUAAAUGUUAGCUAUUCAUGAUGUCAUCAUCAUUAUAUUUACCAUUAUUACUCAUCUCCUGUAUUGCAAGAAUUACAGUUUAUAUUUUCGUAGACCAUCACUGUAGCUAAAGGGUCUUUGGGCCAUAGGUGAUAUUCCAUAAAGGUUGGUUAAAUUGAUCUGUGGUUUUUGACUAUGGAAACUCAGAACUCCCUCAAAAUGUACAAAACAGAUUUACCUGCUA